AGACCCGAAACCCGGUGAUCUAGCCAUGGGCAGGUUGAAGGUUGGGUAACACUAACUGGAGGACCGAACCGACUAAUGUUGAAAAAUUAGCGGAUGACCUGUGGCUGGGGGUGAAAGGCCAAUCAAACCGGGAGAUAGCUGGUUCUCCCCGAAAGCUAUUUAGGUAGCGCCUCGUGAAUUCAUCUCCGGGGGUAGAGCACUGUUUCGGCUAGGGGGCCAUCCCGGCUUACCAACCCGAUGCAAACUGCGAAUACCGGAGAAUGUUAUCACGGGAGACACACGGCGGGUGCUAACGUCCGUCGUGAAGAGGGAAACAACCCAGACCGCCAGCUAAGGUCCCAAAGUCAUGGUUAAGUGGGAAACGAUGUGGGAAGGCCCAGACAGCCAGGAUGUUGGCUUAGAAGCAGCCAUCAUUUAAAGAAAGCGUAAUAGCUCACUGGUCGAGUCGGCCUGCGCGGAAGAUGUAACGGGGCUAAACCAUGCACCGAAGCUGCGGCAGCGACACUAUGUGUUGUUGGGUAGGGGAGCGUUCUGUAAGCCUGUGAAGGUGUGUCGUGAGGCAUGCUGGAGGUAUCAGAAGUGCGAAUGCUGACAUAAGUAACGAUAAAGCGGGUGAAAAGCCCGCUCGCCGGAAGACCAAGGGUUCCUGUCCAACGUUAA
rnacentral:rRNA from 1 species